CCUACGGGAGGCAGCAGUAGGGAAUAUUGCUCAAUGGGGGAAACCCUGAAGCAGCAACGCCGCGUGGAGGAUGAAGGUUUUCGGAUUGUAAACUCCUUUUGUUAGAGAAGAUCAUGACGCUAUCUAACAAAUAAGCACCGGCUAAAUCCGUGCCAGCAGCCGCGGUAAUACGGAGGGUGCAAGCGUUACUCGGAAUCACUGGGCGUAAAGAGCGCGUAGGCGGGAUAGCAAGUCAGAUGUGAAAUCCUAUGGCUAAACCAUAGAACUGCAUUUGAAACUGUUAUUCUAGAGUAUGGGAGAGGUAGGUGGAAUUCUUGGUGUAGGGGUAAAAUGCGUAGAGAUCAAGAGGAAUACUCAUUGCGAAGGCGACCUGCUAGAACAUAACUGACGCUGAGGCGCGAAAGCGUGGGGAGCAAACAGGAUUAGAUACCCGAGUAGUC
rnacentral:rRNA from 1 species